GACGAACGCUGGCGGCGUGCUUAACACAUGCAAGUCGAACGGAAAGGCCCUGCUUGCAGGGUACUCGAGUGGCGAACGGGUGAGUAACACGUGGGUGAUCUGCCCUGCACUUCGGGAUAAGCUUGGGAAACUGGGUCUAAUACCGGAUAGGAGCCAUCUUUAGUGUGUGGUUGGAAAGUUUUUUCGGUGUAGGAUGAGCUCGCGGCCUAUCAGCUUGUUGGUGGGGUAAUGGCCUACCAAGGCGGCGACGGGUAGCCGGCCUGAGAGGGUGUACGGCCACAUUGGGACUGAGAUACGGCCCAGACUCCUACGGGAGGCAGCAGUGGGGAAUAUUGCACAAUGGGCGCAAGCCUGAUGCAGCGACGCCGCGUGGGGGAUGAAGGCCUUCGGGUUGUAAACUCCUUUCGCUAGGGACGAAGCUUUUUGUGACGGUACCUAGAUAAGAAGCACCGGCUAACUACGUG
rnacentral:rRNA from 1 species